rnacentral:rRNA from 1 species
GACGAACGCUGGCGGCGUGCCUAAUACAUGCAAGUCGAACGCAGUGGGGACGGGUGAGUAACACGUGGGUAACCUCCCAUCAGAGGGGAUAACAUUUGGAAACAGGUGCUAAACCGAUACUGAUGGAUGGACCCGCGGUGCAUUAGCUAGUUGGUGAGGUAACGGCGCACCAAGGCCACGAUGCAUAGCUGACCUGAGAGGGUGAUCAGCCACACUGGGACUGAGACACGGCCCAGACUCCUACGGGAGGCAGCAGUGGGGAAUCUUCGGCAAUGGGCGAAAGUCUGACCGAGCCACGCCGCGUGAGUGAAGAAGGUUUUCGGGUCGUAAAGCACUGUUGUCAGGGAAGCGGUAUCUACCCAAAAAGCACCGGCUAACUACGUGCCAGCAGCCGCGGUAAUAC